rnacentral:rRNA from 1 species
AGGGAAAGGUGAAAAGCACCCCGGGAGGGGAGUGAAACAGUACCUGAAACCGUGCGCCCGCAAGGCGUCGGAGCAGGCUUGUCCUGUGACGGCGUGCCUUUUGUAGAAUGAGCCAGCGAGUUGCUGGCACGCGGCGAGGUUAAGCUGGGAAGCGAGCCGGAGCGAAAGCGAGUCCGAAACGGGCGAUCUGAGUCGCGUGCCGCAGACGCGAAGCCGGGUGAGCUAUCCCUGGGCAGGCUGAAGCGGGGGUAAGACCCCGUGGAGGGCCGAACGGACGUACGUUGAAAAGUGCGCCGAUGACCUGGGGAUAGGGGUGAAAGGCCUAUCAAACCCGGAGAUAUCUCGUUCUCCCCGAAAUAGCUUUAGGGCUAGCGUCGAGAGUUAACCGCCGGAGGUAGAGCACCGGAUCGAUGAGGGGGCUUCGCCGCCUACCGAUUCGAACCGAACUCCGAAUGCCGGUCGGUCCAUAUCUCGGCAGUCAGAGCAUGUGGGCUAAGCUGUGUGCUCGAGAGGGAAACAGCCCAGACCGCCCGCUAAGGCCCCCAAUUCUCAGUUAAGUGGCAAAGGAUGUGCGUCCGCGCAGACAACCAGGAGGUUGGCUUAGAAGCAGCCACCCCUUCAAAGAGUGCGUAACAGCUCACUGGUCGAGUGGACAUGCGCCGACAAUACACGGGGCUAAACUGAGAGCCGAAGCGGCGGCAAUGAGAUUUCAUUGGGUAGGGGAGCGUCCCCAGCGGGGCGAAGCCGGAGGGUCACCGACGGUGGACUGCUGGGGAGUGAGAAUGCUGGCAUGAGUAGCGAGAGACGAGAGAGUAACUCGUCCGCCGUAAACCCGAGGUUUCCUGGGCGAGGCUAAUCCUCCCAGGGUCAGUCGGGGGCUAAGCCGAGGGCGGAAGCCGUAGGCGACGCGCAGCAGGUGGACAUUCCUGCACCGGAGAUGCACCGUCACGACCGACGGGGCGACGGAUUGGGGUGGCUCGGCGGGGUUCUGGACGUCCCCGUGAUGGAGCGCGGCCCGGAGACCAGGCAAAUCCGGUCUCCGCGAGGGCGAGGCUCCGGACGAAGCGCUUGAGCGAAGCGAGUGAGCCCGUGGUCCCCAGAAAAACCCCUAGGCAGGGGCAUCUCCGCCCGUACCGCAAACCGACACAGGUGGGUGGGUAGAACAUACCGAGGCGAUCGGGUCAACCAUGGUCAAGGAACUCGGCAAAAUGGCCCCGUAACUUCGGGAGAAGGGGCGCCGGCGCGUACGUGGACCCACUUGCUGGGCGAGCGGAGGCCGGCCGCAGUGAAGAGGCCCAAUCGACUGUUUACCAAAAACACAGGACUCUGCAGAAGGCGAGAGCCGACGUAUAGGGUCUGACGCCUGCCCGGUGCCGGAAGGUCACGCGGAGGGGUUAGCGCGAGCGAAGCCCCGAAGCCAAGCCCCGGUAAACGGCGGCCGUAACUAUAACGGUCCUAAGGUAGCGAAAUUCCUUGUCGGGUAAGUUCCGACCUGCACGAAAGGCGCAACGAAUUGGGCGCUGUCUCGACCAUGGACCCGGUGAAAUUCCACUAGUCGUGAAGAUGCGACUUACCCGCGGAAGGACGGAAAGACCCCGUGAACCUUCACUGCAGCUUGGCAUUGGCCGCUGGCCCGUCGCGUAGAGGAUAGGCGGGAGGCUUCGAAGCCCGGGCGCCAGCCCGGGUGGAGCCGACCUUGGAAUACCGCCCUCGGCGCGCCGGCGUCCUAACCCCAUGCCGUCAUCCGGAUGGGGGACCGUGCCAGGUGGGUAGUUUGACUGGGGCGGUCGCCUCCUAAAGGGUAACGGAGGCGCGCGAAGGUCCGCUCGGGACGGUCGGCAACCGUCCUCUUGAGUGCAAGAGCAUAAGCGGGCUUGACUGCGAGGCCUACAAGCCGAGCAGGUGCGAAAGCAGGCUCUAGUGAUCCGGCGGCCCCGCGUGGGUG